rnacentral:sRNA from 1 species
ACACAGGGAAGGAGGUGAUCCGAGAAGUGAUUUCUGAUCGGACAUGUGAGGUGGCUCGGCGCUGAGGCGCCCGUCCCACGGACGCGCAGCGAAUACCACCGAGCUGCCCGGACCCGCAGGUGGUCGGACCUCGUCCUUCCGACCAGCGC